GACGAACGCUGGCGGCGUGCUUAACACAUGCAUUUCGAACGGAAAGGCCCUGCUUUUGUGGGGUGCUCGAGUGGCGAACGGGUGAGUAACACGUGAGUAACCUGCCCUUGACUUUGGGAUAACUUCAGGAAACUGGGGCUAAUACCGGAUAGGAGCUCCUGCUGCAUGGUGGGGGUUGGAAAGUUUCGGCGGUUGGGGAUGGACUCGCGGCUUAUCAGCUUGUUGGUGGGGUAGUGGCUUACCAAGGCUUUGACGGGUAGCCGGCCUGAGAGGGUGACCGGCCACAUUGGGACUGAGAUACGGCCCAGACUCCUACGGGAGGCAGCAGUGGGGAAUAUUGCACAAUGGGCGGAAGCCUGAUGCAGCAACGCCGCGUGCGGGAUGACGGCCUUCGGGUUGUAAACCGCUUUCGCCUGUGACGAAGCGUGAGUGACGGUAAUGGGUAAAGAAGCACCGGCUAACUACGUGCCAGCAGCCGCGGUGAUACGUAGGGUGCGAGCGUUGUCCGGAUUUAUUGGGCGUAAAGGGCUCGUAGGUGGUUGAUCGCGUCGGAAGUGUAAUCUUGGGGCUUAACCCUGAGCGUGCUUUCGAUACGGGUUGACUUGAGGAAGGUAGGGGGAGAAUGGAAUUCCCGGUGGAGCGGUGGAAUGCGCAGAUAUCAGGAGGAACACCAGUGGCGAAGGCGGUUCUCUGGGCCUUUCCUGACGCUGAGGAGCGAAAGCGUGGGGAGCGAACAGGCUUAGAUACCCUGGUAGUCCACGCUGUAAACGGUGGGUACUAGGUGUGGGGUCCAUUCCACGGGUUCCGUGCCGUAGCUAACGCUUUAAGUACCCCGCCUGGGGAGUACGGCCGCAAGGCAAAAACUCAAAGGAAUUGACGGGGCCCCGCACAAGCGGCGGAGCAUGCGGAUUAAUUCGAUGCAACGCGUAGAACCUUACCUGGGUUUGACAUGGAUCGGGAGUGCUCAGAGAUGGGUGUGCCUCUUUUGGGGUCGGUUCACAGGUGGUGCAUGCCUGUCGUCAGCUCGUGUCGUGAGAUGUUGGGUUAAGUCCCGCAACGAGCGCAACCCUUGUUCACUGUUGCCAGCACGUUAUGGUGGGGACUCAGUGGAGACCGCCGGGGUCAACUCGGAGGAAGGUGGGGAUGACGUCAAGUCCUCAUGCCCCUUAUGUCCAGGGCUUCACGCAUGCUACAAUGGCUGGUACAGAGAGUGGCGAGCCUGUGAGGGUGAGCGAAUCUCGGAAAGCCGGUCUCAGUUCGGAUUGGGGUCUGCAACUCGACCUCAUGAAGUCGGAGUCGCUAGUAAUCGCAGAUCAGCAACGCUGCGGUGAAUAAAUUCCCGGGGCU
rnacentral:rRNA from 1 species